rnacentral:rRNA from 1 species
UUCGAUGCAACGCGAAGAACCUUACCAAUGASGUUGACAUGYCKCGAMUCCUUCUGAACAGSAAGGASUKMCUUAGGGCCASCUGCGRACMCWKGURCGYSCAAUGGCAUGUCCGGAUMACGCUYGCAUSCUCCGUGAKCAYCGYUGGSUGCURAGYACCCGCAACGAGCGCAACCCUCGUUUUUAGUUGCCAGCAUUAAGUUGGGCACUCUAGAGAGACUGCCGGUGACAAACCGGAGGAAGGUGGGGAUGACGUCAAGUCAGCAUGCCCCUUACGUCUUGGGCUACACACGUACUACAAUGCUACGGACAAAGGGCAGCUACACAGCGAUGUGAUGCWAAUCUCAGAAACCGUAGCUCAGUUCAGAUCGAAGGCUGCAACUCGCCUUCGUGAAGGAGGAAUCGCUAGUAAUUGCAGGUCAGCAUACUGCAGUGAAUUCGUUCCCGGGCCUUGUACACACCGCCCGUCACACCAUGGAAGCUGGUCACGCCCGAAGUCAUUACCUCAACCUUUCGAGGAGGGGGAUGCCUAAGGUAGGACUGGUGACUGGGUGAAGUCGUACAA